GAGAUUGUUCAGAAAAAACUUGUUGUUGUGGGUGAGAUAGUAUGACAUCCUAUUUGAUGGUUUUUGUUUUCUCUCUCAUUGCACUGUUAAGCUUGUACAUCCUACAUUGUUGUUGUCCAAGCCAUAACUACCAUUGCGAUAAGGUAUAGUAAACCUUGUAGACUGAAGAUAUAUGAUUUUCUUCAUGCUUUAGCUCUUGGGUGUGUGCAGUCAAUAUUUUCAGAAUUGUAGCUAAGUAAUAGGGGAAAUUAGGGUGCUGGUGCUUAAGGUCCUAAAUGAAAUGUAUAGAGCUCAAGAUUAUCUUGCCAGGUAUAUAGUAUUGAGGUGGCCUCUUUUUUUUCUUUGCCUUGUUUCUGUAUAGAUAUUCACCAGCAUGAUAUUUGCAAACUUGAAUGGACCCAUGAGAGGCAUCUUGAUUUUGUCCAUACUCCUUUCUGUUUGUUCGUAUUUUUUAGUUGUAGCUAUCACAUGGUUCUAUAAUUUUUAAUUAUCUAUGGUGGCUACAUCUAAUACUAAUAUUCUCAUCUGAUUAAGAUUAGAAGUGAAAUAAUUUAUUGCAGUGCACCUUUAUGAAAAGAUGGUGUUUGUGGUACUGUUGCCAUGAUAAUUUAGCAAUAUCAAAUGUAUUAGAAUGUGAUAUACCUGGGUUGUUUGUGCAGGUUCAUGUCUGGGAACUCUUUGUCGGUGUGAAACAUCAUGUCUGCAGAACGCCACAAAAACCGUUGGCACGCAGCUUGCCAAGGGCGAGGCAACGGAAAGUAAAUGGAUGUAAACACCCAAUGCCCUAGAGAUGAAUUUCAGAGAUUGUUCACCUCACCGCUGUAGAUAAACAAAUCAGAGGGGACUUACGACGGCUGCAGGCAAGUAGGCGAUGAAGCCCAGUGCCCGACGAACAAUGGGGGCAUGCCAGGGAUGAAUGGCGACGACGAGCUACGGAUGGGCAAGGGCGACUGCGGCUGGCGAUGGACAGAGGAUCGAUAGGGUUGAUCGACGUUGUGUGCGAUGGCGAAGGUGGCGCGCGAGAUCCAGGGACGAGGAGGUGAGGUUGCGCGCGGUGUCAUGCGAGGGCCAGGGACUUGUAGGUGAGGGCACGGUCGCGUGACUGGCGGCGCGGGGUGAUCACGGAAUUGAUCACGAUUGUUAGGGGAUUGAUUUUGCCUUCCUGAUCUGUUGCGGCUGUUACAGGAUUGAUGAUUUUUGCCUUCCUGUUUCGGGUGGUGGCAUUUGAUAAAGUCUCCACGCCUGGGGCUCAGCCGGGGUGGUAUUUUGAGGGAAGCCAACGGAGUCGCGGAGAGUGGAUCGCACCCACGCAGGCAGACGGACGAUGUUCAAUUGCCGCACGAAAAAGUGUCCAUUCUUUAGUCUUUUUAGUUGUAGGAGAUUGUUCAGAAAAAACUUGUUGUUGUGGGUGAGAUAGUAUGACAUCCUAUUUGAUGGUUUUUGUUUUCUCUCUCAUUGCACUGUUAAGCUUGUACAUCCUACAUUGUUGUUGUCCAAGCCAUAACUACCAUUGCGAUAAGGUAUAGUAAACCUUGUAGACUGAAGAUAUAUGAUUUUCUUCAUGCUUUAGCUCUUGGGUGUGUGCAGUCAAUAUUUUCAGAAUUGUAGCUAAGUAAUAGGGGAAAUUAGGGUGCUGGUGCUUAAGGUCCUAAAUGAAAUGUAUAGAGCUCAAGAUUAUCU
rnacentral:lncRNA from 1 species